UACGGAGGGUGCGAGCGUUGUCCGGAAUCACUGGGCGUAAAGGGCGCGUAGGUGGCGCGGGCAGUCAACGGUGAAAGUUCGGGGCUCAACCCUGAAUCGGCCGUCGAUACUCCCGUGCUUGAGCACUGUAGAGGCAGAUGGAAUUCCGGGUGUAGCGGUGGAAUGCGUAGAGAUCCGGAAGAACACCGGUGGCGAAGGCGGUCUGCUGGGCAGUAGCUGACACUGAGGCGCGAAAGCGUGGGGAGCGAACAGG
rnacentral:rRNA from 1 species